CCUACGGGGGGCUGCAGUAGGGAAUUUUCCACAAUGGACGAAAGUCUGAUGGAGCAACGCCGCGUGCAGGAUGAAUGUCUUCGGAUUGUAAACUGCUUUUAUAUGUGACGAUUAUGACGGUAGCAUAUGAAUAAGGAUCGGCUAACUCCGUGCCAGCAGCCGCGGUCAUACGGAGGAUCCAAGCGUUAUCCGGAAUUACUGGGCGUAAAGAGUUGCGUAGGUGGCAUUGUAAGUAGAUAGUGAAAGCGUGGGGCUCAACCUCAUAACCAUUAUCU
rnacentral:rRNA from 1 species